UUAUACAGCGAAACUGCGAAUGGCUCAUUAAAUCAGUUAUCGUUUAUUUGAUAGUACCUUACUACAUGGAUAACCGUGGUAAUUCUAGAGCUAAUACAUGCUAAAAAUCCCGACUUCGGAAGGGAUGUAUUUAUUAGAUUAAAAACCAAUGCCCUUCGGGGCUCUCUGGUGAUUCAUAAUAACUUCUCGAAUCGCACGGCCUUGCGCCGGCGAUGGUUCAUUCAAAUUUCUGCCCUAUCAACUUUCGACGGCUGGGUCUUGGCCAGCCAUGGUGACAACGGGUAACGGAGGGUUAGGGCUCGACCCCGGAGAAGGAGCCUGAGAAACGGCUACUACAUCCAAGGAAGGCAGCAGGCGCGCAAAUUACCCAAUCCCGACACGGGGAGGUAGUGACAAUAAAUACUGAUACAGGGCUCUUUUGGGUCUUGUAAUUGGAAUGAGUACAAUUUAAAUCCCUUAACGAGGAACAAUUGGAGGGCAAGUCUGGUGCCAGCAGCCGCGGUAAUUCCAGCUCCAAUAGCGUAUAUUAAAGUUGUUGAGGUUAAAAAGCUCGUAGUUGAACCUUGGGCCUAGCCGGCCGGUCCGCCUCACCGCGUGCACUGGCUCGGUUGGGCCUUUCCUUCUGGAGAACCGCAUGCCCUUCACUGGGUGUGCUGGGGAACCAGGACUUUUACUCUGAAUAAAUUAGAUCGCUUAAAGAAGGCCUAUGCUCGAAUACAUUAGCAUGGAAUAAUAGAAUAGGACGUGUGGUUCUAUUUUGUUGGUUUCUAGGACCGCCGUAAUGAUUAAUAGGGACAGUCGGGGGCAUCAGUAUUCAAUUGUCAGAGGUGAAAUUCUUGGAUUUAUUGAAGACUAACUACUGCGAAAGCAUUUGCCAAGGAUGUUUUCAUUAAUCAGGAACGAAAGUUAGGGGAUCGAAGACGAUCAGAUACCGUCGUAGUCUUAACCAUAAACUAUGCCGAUUAGGGAUCGGACGGUGUUAUUUUUUGACCCGUUCGGCACCUUACGAUAAAUCAAAAUGUUUGGGCUCC
rnacentral:rRNA from 1 species